rnacentral:lncRNA from 1 species
AUUUUGAUAUGGAUAAUUUUUAAAGUCUUUAUUGAAUAUAUUAAAAUACUAUUUCUGUUUUGUUUUGUUUUUUGGCAUGUAGAAUCUUAGCUCCCUGUCUGGAGAUUGAACCUGCAGCCUCUAUGUUGGAAGAUGAAGUUUUAACUGUUGGAUCACCAGAAAAGUCCUCCCCCCUGCUUUUUAUGAUUACAGAAAUGAAUCUAAUUGAAAAAAACAAGGAAGAGGACAUAAACAGCUUCAAGAGCCUUCUCUUAACCUCUAAGAAGAGAUGUAGGCUUCAUCACCCCAGGCCAGAAUGUGAAGAGAAGAAGGAAGCCAGAAGUGAUGGCCGGCAGAGCUGGUGA